AUCAGAAGAUUGCCGUGAAUGGUUGUUUACAGUUACUGGAUGCUUCUCAGCCUUCACUUGCUCGGGCUGCAGCGGGUACAUCAGGAUUUCUGGUGCAAACCAGCAAAAAGCAUGUAGGAUGCUCGAGGGGCUGCUGGACACGAAGGGGCUGCUGGACGCGAUGUCGCCAGACGGGGCUAGGCCGGGACUAGCUCAUGCAAGGUGGGCAAUUGCAGCCUCCUUUCCAAGGCAGGACAAUCCCAGAUUCUUUCACAUCUUAGGAACCGACGCUCGCACAACACUUGCGACUUAUGCAAAGCUCCUUUCUGUUCAUUAUCGUGUUGGAUGGAUCAUCACCAGCCCCAGAGGGAAAGCCGUCACCCUGUUCUGCAGGAGGAAGCACAGGCCCAGGGAGGUCCCGGCUUCCAGCGGCCAAGACCUGCACUCUUUCCCUGAGAGCCAUUCCCCUCUGACUCCCACCCUGACACACACUCUGUUCACAUCGCACUACGUUGGAAACAACCAAAGAAAACGGUUAAGCAAACUCCUACGGUAACGUGAGCGAACACGCGGGACAUGCUGACGGCUGGCAGGUAAGGGACCUCGCUCGGUGUGGGAUGCUGUGUUUUGAAACAUUGUGAUUUGAUUAAAGCAGAACACAAACGACAUGCUCAUCACAGGUGUGCCAAAGUGCGCGCCUGCAAGCUGGUAAGAGCCAGAAGUGCGCUGAGAGACGUAAAGAGAUUGUUAUCUACGUGGGGCUUUCUUUUCCUAUAAAGAUUAUGCUCAAAACAACCAGAAGCAGCAAAAUAAAUAAAUGUGAUCAUAAUAAGCAGAGGAGGAGGAGUCUGUCUCGGUCCCCAGAGGACCACCCCUCUUCUGGAAAGGGCUGGAGUUGCAGGGCCUGGAAGUGGGGAGUCGGGGAGCUGUGGGAAGGAGGAGGCAGG